GACAAACGCUGGCGGCGUGCCUAACACAUGCAAGUCGAGCGAAUGAAGUUCCUUCGGGGAUGGAUUUAGCGGCGGACGGGUGAGUAACACGUGGGCAACCUGCCUCAUAGAGGGGAAUAGCCUUCCGAAAGGGAGAUUAAUACCGCAUAAGAUUGUAGUACCGCAUGAUACAGCAAUUAAAGGAGCAAUCCGCUAUGAGAUGGGCCCGCGGCGCAUUAGCUAGUUGGUGAGGUAACGGCUCACCAAGGCGACGAUGCGUAGCCGACCUGAGAGGGUGAUCGGCCACAUUGGGACUGAGACACGGCCCAGACUCCUACGGGAGGCAGCAGUGGGGAAUAUUGCACAAUGGGGGAAACCCUGAUGCAGCAACGCCGCGUGAGUGAUGACGGCCUUCGGGUUGUAAAGCUCUGUCUUCAGGGACGAUAAUGACGGUACCUGAGGAGGAAGCCACGGCUAACUACGUGCCAGCCGCCGCAGUAAUAC
rnacentral:rRNA from 1 species